rnacentral:rRNA from 1 species
AUGUGUUGGAAUGUUAGAGGUCUUAAUUCUGAUGAUCGCCAACGUGCUGUUCGUAAUAAGGUGGAGGAAAGCAUGGCGUCUGUGGUAUGUCUACAAGAGACGAAAAUGGAGUGUAUUGAUUCCACGACUGUCCGAAAAUUUUGCCCCAGUCGUUUUGACUCGUUCGUUUUCAGUCCUUCGGUUGGGGCCUCGGGUGGCAUUGUUGUGCUGUGGAACUCCUUUGUUCUCUCUGGUCAGUUGCUGGAGGUGAAGCAUUUUGGUAUUGUUAUCCAAUUCACUUCCAAACAUAAUAAUGAAAUUUGGACGUUGGUCAACAUCUAUGGGCCGUGCAGAGGCCAAGCUAGAGAUGACUUUGUGGACUGGCUCUACCAUCUUUCCAUACCUGACUCUGCUAAUUGGUUGGUACUGGGGGAUUUUAAUUUUAUUAGAUCAACUGAGAACAGAAAUCUACCUGAGGGUGAUGCUAAUGAUAUUUUUAUCUUUAAUGAGAUUAUUGGGCAUCUUGGUCUGCUUGAAUUACCUAUUAAGGGAAGAUCUUUCACUUGGUCAAAUAUGCAAGAUCUUUCACUGGUUUUUUACCUCUGCGAAUUGGAUCUCCUGUUACCCUUCCACUCAGGUGUUGCCACUUGCAAGGACUGCUUCAGAUCAUGUGCCUUGUGUGGUGGCAAUCAACACCUCUAUUCCCAAAUGCAAUAUCUUUCGUUUUGA